rnacentral:rRNA from 1 species
UACGAAGGGGGCUAGCGUUGUUCGGAAUCACUGGGCGUAAAGGGCGCGUAGGCGGCUUUAUAAGUCGGGGGUGAAAGCCUGUGGCUCAACCGGGGAGUGCGGCUGCGAACUGGGUUUCUUGAGGACGAUAGAGGAGAGUGGAAUUCCUGGUGUAGCGGUGAAAUGCGUAGAUAUCAGGAGGAACACCCGAGGCGAAGGCGGCUCUCUGGGUCGUACCUGACGCUGAGGCGCGAAAGCGUGGGGAGCGAACGGG